ensembl:lncRNA
GGCGUGCCGUCAUCGCAUUUACUUGCGUCCCUGCGGCGCUGAACUGUAAAGCCUUUGUGAAUCAAUGAGGUUAUAUCCCACCACAGAGUGUGAAGCCCAGUGUCUGAGCCGUAAGCUGCUUUCCAUCGAGACACCUCGGACGAAUAUAUUAUUUUUUCCUGAACAGGACUAUGAAUAGACAUAGUGUCCGUCUGCACGAAAGAAAAACUGAAAAUUAGCAAGCAGAAGAAGGAACAUCUGGCGAAAGUGGACCUGAGGAGCCCCAACUGAGGACCGGUGAAUCAUUCUGGGGGGAUGUCUCCACAAGAGCAGACAGGCCCUGGGUGUCCAGAGAGGAGUUGCUGUAGAGAGGGACUGCAGGUCGGCCUCAAGGCAGAGCGAGCAUGCCGGUUGCAUUUGAUCCUGUCUUUCACCCUUCUUCUAAGCACGAGCUCCCUGAUACCGCCGGCAACUGAACAGAGACACGUUUGGCUUCUGAAAUAAUCCAAUAAAAAAGACAGAGAGAGAGAGUGGGAGAGAUCGAGCAAAGUCGAUGAGCUCAUUCCCAUCUUUCAUCAGCAUCUCCUGGUUCAUAAUCAGCAGCGAUGGACGGGUGGGGGAGAGCAGCAGUCUUGAAGACCUCCCUGCAGCCAAACCC